rnacentral:lncRNA from 1 species
AAAUACUAUGUUAUUUAGCUCUUCUAUCAGCAGGUAAGCUAUAGGACCUAUUACUUGUAAUGUUACUCAAAGGAAAAUCUCAUCUCUUUCAAUUUUUUUUCAAAUUAAUUAGAAAAUUGCAUGCUUACUAUGAUGUAGGGAAGACAGAAUAGGGACAAAAUAAAUUUUAUAGUUUAUUCAGUUAAUUUGUGUGUGGUAAGGUGGAGUGGAGAAGGUGACAUUUGUAAUUGCAUAUCAUAUUUGCAAAUGCAAAUAUUUGCAAAAUGUCAAUAUAUAGAGUCAGCCCUCUGCAUCUGUGGAUACAACAAACUGUGGAUCAAAAAUAUUUCAAGGAACAAAAAAUAUCAACAUGGUAAUAAAAAUAAUGUAAAUAAAAAACAAUACAUUAUAACAAUUAUUUGUAUAGCAUUUACAUGGUAUUAGAGUUAUAAAUACUCUACAGAUGAUUUAAAGUAUACAGGAGAAUGUGCAUAGGUUAUAUGCAAAUACUGCCAUUUUAUUUGAGAGAUUUGAACAUCUGCAGAUUUUGGUAUCCUCAGAAGUCCUGAAACCAAUUCCCCGAGGAUACCCAUGAAGGACUGUACAUAUACACCCACACACAAUGACUUUUAUUCCCACACAGGUUUGUGGGGAAAAAAAGGAAGAGUGAACUUGGGUUACAUGAAUCCAAUUGGUUACACCUAAUUUUCUCCAUUUUCUCUUCUUCACUUCUAAUUGCUAAAUUAAAAACAAUUAAUAAUUUUCAUAAAAUGAGUAUUUUGUUUUCCACAGAUACUUCUUAAUGCUAUCAUUACAAAUACUCUACUGGAACAUAUAUACUCCCUCCUAAAUGUUCUAUAUUAUCAAAGGUAUACUUUCUUAAAGAAGUAGAUUUGAGAUGACAGAAUUUCAUGAAGAUUUGUAAAAUUAACUAUAACUUGUUAAAUAUGGAUGAAUAUUAACUUGUUAAUUUAAAUUGAGCAGAGAUAAAGGAAAGCAAGAUAUGUAAGCUGUUUAUUGCAUCAGUAAUUUUCAAAGAAAAUGAAUGUAAAGUAAACAGAGCAACAGAGGCCUGUGAAAAAACUAGAAAGAAAACAGCCACAUGGCAAGAGAAGAAGGAAUGGAAGAAGGCUCUGGGAGGUGUUGAAUUUGUUUGAGUUCUUUCUCCUAGAAGACAGAAGCAGGUGCAAUAGAACACAAAUAUAAAAAGGGAAGCCAAGGUUCCUGCCUGGGUCAUAAAAAAUACUGGAUACAAAAGAUUUUAGAAGAAGAAGGAGAAAACAAAUUCAGGGGCAAGACACCAGAACCAUUGGAAAGACCGAUGGAGAGUUACGUGAAGAGCUUCCAGAAAAUAAGGCAUAUACAAGUGCUAGUAUUCCAGUCUUACACACAGAUGCAUAGAUAAAUAAAUAACAUCACACAUUUGCUAAUAAAUAGCACAGAUGACUUUUUAGAUGUAUCUCUAGAUGUAACGAUUCUUAGAAGCUUCAUACCCAAAUUUCCAGAUAUCUUCAACAGUCUAAAGUAGAACUCUUUACCAGCUCCAUCAAGACAAUUCUUUAUCUAGCUCUAUCUCAAUUGAUAUCUUUACAUCUCCCCAAGCAACGUGAGCUCAAGACUUUUAAUUCCUUUUUGUUAAGCGUUCUAUAUUGACACUUAAUUCUGCAAGUGCUCUUCCUCAGUGUCUCAUACGUAAUUCUAUUUAUUUGCUGCUACUGGUAUAACAAUUACAUUAUUGUAAUUGUUUCCUAACUGGUCUCCCAAACUCCAGUUAUUCAACUUUUCUCUUUUCUCUAAAGUAAAACCACCCACCUCUCACCACAAAAUAAUUCAACUCAUUAUAUGCCCAGUGCAGUAGUCCAAUGAUACUUAAUGCCUGGAGGCGGAGAACCAAAUUUCUUAACCUUAUUUUUAAAACCCUAUACCUUUCAUAUUUGCCAUUUCAUCUCCCCUACUUUUCCCUUCAUAACAAUGUGUUUCAUGCUUGUAGUAUAGUGCUGUCUUAGCUUGUCUCAUAUUAAAGCUAUCCAUAAUUGCUUCAAUUGGUCAUGUGAGACUGGAAAUGCAGAGAGAGCCAGGACAAUGCUUUCCUUGCCUUUGCUUAAUUCAAAAUGCUUUUCAGGAUGUUUUAUAUACAGUAGAAUAUAGCAGUGACUGCCACUUGUAUAUCCAUAUCAAUUCUCCCUUAUCAAAGCUCACCAGUCAAAGUCUAUACAGAACUCAAAUGUGGUCAAACAAGGAAGAGCAGGGUCUCUUAGUAACAGGAAGUUGGAAGAGGCUUAUUAUAGGAUUUAGACUUGUGCUGUGUGGCUAUAGAGGCUAGAGAAAGGAAGGCUAGCUUUGAAUUGAAUAAUGUCCAGAAGUAAGAGCAAUUCAGUAACAUAGUUGCCAGGUAUCAUAAUCUUUGUUCAGGACACUGGAGGAACAAAAUCAUGCUAGGGAUAUAUCAUUGGUAAUAAAACAGCAACAUACUCAAAAGUCAAUUUUUGCAGCUACAAUAUGGCCUUGUUAAAAACAUGGUUUAUUAUAAUCUAACCAUUAACAGCUAAUUUUUCAUUUUCUCUCUUUUCUUUCUUUUAGUGAUAGAACCACCUAAAUUUAAUAGGGUAUGUGGCUGUCCAGACUAUGCUAUUAAACCCUUCAUGUUGCUAAUUUUGUGUAUGUAGCUAAAUUCUAGUCAAUGGGAUGAAACCUGAUUUCAUGCUUGUGACUUCCAUAGUACAUUUUUUUUUAAAAAAAGAAACAGCUUUCUCUCAUUCAUCCUUUACUUCAUUCUAUGAACCAAACACAUAUGUAUUUCUGUAGGUCAGCUUUGACUAUGUAUUUCCUUGGAGAUAGUGGAGUAAAAAGUUAGAAGGCUCAUAAGAUUCCAUGACAACUUUGUGGAACAUAGCUACCUGUCUACCCUAGAUCGUUCACCUUCUUCUGAAUAGUAAAUGAAAAAGAAAUAAUCUAUCUUCCUUUACCCAGUGAACAUUUGAAUCUUUUCAUUAGAGUAGCUUGUUUCAUACUCAUUUAAUAACAUAUGACAAGAUAUUGGCCAUUGAAUUAUGAAUUAUAAUAAUAAAAUGUUAAGUACCUCUACUAUGGAUCUAGAAGUUCUUAGUUGGAUUAUGUGCAUUAUCUAUUACCUUCUUUGGCCUUCCAUUAUGUAACUUGCCAAGUAUUUUUAUGAAUCAGGAAACUAUUUGCAUAGAUACACUGAAUAAACAUGUAAGACU